UGCCAUGGGCGGCCGGGCGAGGGGAGCCUUGUGCUCGCCGGUGGCUCCAUCGGUCUUCCAACCCCCGUUUCGGUCGCCCACCCGA
rnacentral:antisense_RNA from 1 species